GUGUCAGCAGCCGCGGUAAUACGGAGGGUGCGAGCGUUGUCCGGAAUCACUGGGCGUAAAGGGCGCGUAGGUGGCUUUUCAAGCGCGCGGUGAAAGCCCGGGGCUCAACCCCGGGUCGGCCGUGCGGACUGGGAGGCUCGAGCACUGUAGGGGCGGGUGGAAUUCCGGGUGUAGCGGUGGAAUGCGUAGAGAUCCGGAAGAACACCGGUGGCGAAGGCGGCCCGCUGGGCAGGAAGACCUCGUAAGAGGUCGGCUGACACUGAGGCGCGACAGCGUGGGGAGCAAACAGGAUUAGAUACCCCCGUAGUCC
rnacentral:rRNA from 1 species